UGGGGUGUAGCUUGCUGGGAGAGCGCUUGCCUGACAUGUGUGAAGGCCCAGGUUCAAUCCCCGGCACCACGA
rnacentral:tRNA from 1 species